AGUGAACGCUGGCGGUAGGCCUAACACAUGCAAGUCGAACGGCAGCGCAGUAAGAGCUUGCUCUUACGGGUGGCGAGUGGCGGACGGGUGAGGAAUACAUCGGAAUCUACUUUUUCGUGGGGGAUAACGUAGGGAAACUUACGCUAAUACCGAAUACGACCUACGGGUGAAAGCAGGGGAUCUUCGGACCUUGCGCGAUUGAAUGAGCCGAUGUCGGAUUAGCUAGUUGGCGGGGUAAAGGCCCACCAAGGCGACGAUGCGUAGCUGGUCUGAGAGGAUGAUCAGCCACACUGGAACUGAGACACGGUCCAGACUCCUACGGGAGGCAGCAGUGGGGAAUAUUGGGCAAUGGGCGCAAGCCUGAUCCAGCCAUACCGCGUGGGUGAAGAAGGCCUUCGGGCUGUAAAGCCCUGUUGUUGGGAAAGAAAAGCAGCAGGUUAAUACCCCGCUGUUCUGACGGUACCCAAAGAAUAAGCACCGGCUAACUUCGUG
rnacentral:rRNA from 1 species